UUGGGUUCAUGCGGAUAAUUGGAUAAAGAAGACCUGCGCUUAGUGCGAUUGGUUGAUGUCAUCAUAUAGGUUCCAGCUUCCUCAGUCGAGAACUAAGAAAAUUUCGUCUAUCAGAGCUAUCUCCAACUCCUAGAAGCAUUCAAUUCCUUUACCUUUAGGCUCAGGUCAGGUAGAAGGAUAGAAAGAAGACAGUCUAGAUAGCAUCUCGGGGCAAAGCAAAACUCAUCCAUGAAAAUGCCGGUGAUCGCUAAUCCAGUCCUAAUCUCACAAAGAAAAAAAGGUGAAUCAAUGAGAUCAUUCUAUUGGUUGGUUAAAAAGUAAAGUUCUAUACGAUAUUAGAAUGCAAGAACUCCAGAAAGAAGACAUUAUAGGGCAGCUAAGAGAUAAAGAGAGGAUUCUUCCCUCAUAAUCAAUGCUUUUAUUUUAGAGCUAGUUCUCCUUUUGCAUUCCGUCCUAGUCAAUGAAGCUUUAAGUAAAUCAGGCUACUUAGUCAAAUCGAGAGGACUAGUCUCAUGACAGGACUUUACCAGUCAUCUCUUCUGUGACAGUCUUUUUGUUUGUGUACAAGGGGAGAGUGAAAGACUCGACAGAUGACUACAUAGUCCGGGCUAUCGCUACCCCCAUGGUGUCACCUAAACGCAGCAUCGAAAGCCACCUGAGAAGGGGUUUUCAUACAGUCAAUUCCACCGUGGGAUUCCCACCUUUUUAUUCCAACCAAUCCGCACAAGACUUGAUACGUGGACUAAUUGACAGUACCGAGUUCUCUACAUGCCUCAACUAGGGAACUCUGUGGUCCCAGCUCCUAUGAUUCCUUUCCUCGUCAAUUCAAACCUUUUGAUUUGACUCAACAUUUUUUGAACCUGAUGAGAA
rnacentral:lncRNA from 1 species